UCCGCCCGUCCCGUAAGGAGCCGGCUCCGCUCUGCGGCUGAAAGAUCUGUUUUGGCUGCGGGGCGAGGAGCGCGCACCCAGCGCCGCCGCGACGGGGCUCCGCGAGUGGGUGAGCGAGCGAGCGGGCCCGGCGGGGGGCAGGGGGCCGCGCGAGCUGCGCUCCCCGUGGGAGGCUCGGCACUCCCCUCCCCGCUCCUUCUAGGCGGCCCCACGCUGCUCUCGAUGGAUUAAGUAAAUAUUUGCAGGCAACAGGACUGGGAAACUGAGCAAGCCCUUCUGGUGGUGUUCAUGCAGGUCGUAAACAUCACUGCCCCUCUUCCGUCCCUCUUUCCCUUGCUGUUCGCGCCCUCCGACGUCCCGCUCCCCUCCCCUCUCCCGCUCCGCCACCCGCUUACAGCGCUGCUCAGAGAUCAUUUCCGUUUGCUGCCAGUUUUCCAGCCGGGGCCUCCUGAGCCCGCAGGCCGCCAGCAGCGCCAGGCUGGGAGAAGGGUGGCGCCCGGCUGAAACCCUCUUGCCCGUGGAGGAGCUCGUCACAGCGCUCCUGGUCGCGGUGGAGGUCUUUGACACACGCGCUUUUGGAUACUUGCUACCCCUGAACUCUCCAUCUUUGCUGCUGCGCUUCAUUUGUCUGUCCUGAUCAUAACGUGCAAAGAACGUCUGCAUUUAGGAGGAGAGAGGACUUCCCGGUUACUCAAACUGGCAUGUAAACCUGCUUUUCUCAAAAUAGCUGGCACACCGGCUGAUUUCAUUUCGGCUAUUCUCGCUUUUGCUACAAGGUUAGCUUGCUGUGAACUUAAAAGGAGAGGUUGUCAAAUUUUGCAUUCUGGUGGAAAACAGCGCGGCUUCACAAUCCUGCUGCUUACGGAAGACAGGCUUUUUGUCUGAAUAUAUUUUUUCUUUCUUCAGUGGUGAUCAUUACUGCACGGCGACGUGGCUGCCUGCGGGACGAUAACAGAGCUGAAGAAGUCAGGAACACACGUGCUCCCGCUGAUCGCUCGGGUGGUCUUCUCGGGCGGCCGCUGCUUUGGCUUGCCCCUUCUGCAAAGCCCCGUUUUUUUUCAGAUUUUUGUCAAGAACGUCUAUGUACAAGCUAAAUGACAUAAAUAACCGUAGCGGUUAUUAGAGGAAAGUGGGAGCCAAGCAGCGGUGUGCCAGAGACCGUUGAAUCCAAUUGCACUUCCUGGAAAAGGCAUUUCUGCACAGAUCUGGAUUUGUUUGGAAAAAAGAAAUUUCUCCAUCGCUGCGGAUCUUAAAUGGCAUCUGGUUUCUCCACGACUGUUGUUCUAAGCUCCUUGUAACCUAUAAAAUAAAACAUAACUCUUAAUUUCCCGUAAAAAGCCAAAGUCAUUUCCUGCCCAAACAGCUGCAUGUGAGUCUACCAGAGAAAACAGUCAAAAGGGUAUUUGUGCAUCAACAGGUGUUUUGCAGAGGGAAAGAAGACAAUUUCCUAAUUUUAUUUUUUUUUCCACCAAUUGACCUUUUGGCUAAUGAACAAAUAAAACAUGAAAAAAUGCCACAACAUAAAUUACCAUUUUUUUCAUAUACUCCAAAUACCUGCUGACCUAGGAACACCAUAACGAAGAGUUAAUUGCAAAACACUGUCCAAGCAAUUAAGGCUCCACUGAAGUCGCACAUGGAGCCUAGGCGCUGAAGGCAAUAUAUUCAAACAGAAAACUGUACGUAUGUAACUGCAGCGCUAAUGCCUGCAGCAGUUGGACAUGCUGUGAAUGCUUCUGACUGCGGAGACGUCCCUGGGCUGUAGGUCACCGUUGCAGAGCCAAAUAAAACUUUAUUCUCUUCCCUGGGGUUUUGGCCACUCUUGGAGGUGGGACGUAGCCCCUGGGCUGAUCCUGGGCCAGCCUGUCAUGCCUACCACGGCCCUCUCCGGAGCGAGUCGCUACCGAAUGUGUUCGUCCAUGCUGCAGUUCCUCGUGCUGCUUUGAACGUGCCCGUGAGUCUCCACCAUGUCGACACCGCUCCACUCGGCUGUUGCAGGCUGUGAGUACGAGGCCGGUGCCCCGGUUCAGAGGGGCGCUUGUGCGGUGAGUGCAUUUCACACAUCCCUUGUUCAGACUGUGCCGCACACCAGGUACUGCAGAGCAGCCCUCCUGCUCUACUGGAUCCUGGAGAGUUUGAGAGCACCCGUUUCCAGCAUUUCUGUGCUCUCUUUGCUUCAGUUCUCUGACAUGGGCCCCAGGGAGCCAUCCAUAGCUUCCUCACUGAGGGUUACAGCCUGGCAGGCUGCACAGGGCAGGUGCCUCCCUCCCAGUGAUCUCAAAUGCUUCAGCAUGACAGUCCCUGAAUAUUACUGCCACCUCUUAUGAGGCAGUGGUCCUCUAUUGCAUGCCUAAGGAUUGCUUUCCUGAGAGUCUCUCCAAGGCCACCACAGUUUCCUUUUCUACUCUCUGACCAUAAUGUAUCCCCUGGUACCCUCCUGCGAGUGUCUCCAAGCCUCCUCUCCUUCAUCUUUCCUCCAUGCUCAGACCAGAGCUUUCUUUUCAGUACCUCUUUAGCAACCAGUCUAACCCAAAGCAGCUCCAGAAUAAUAGCUCAGGCAGGUUUGGGGGCUGGAGCUGGUGGAUGUGACUUUUUGCUCACCGAGGCUUUUUAUGCCAGCAGUUCUGCAGCAGGAUAUACAUGCCUCCAUUUGGUAUAGCCAAGGGUCACGCUUACAGAAUGAUCUCCACAUUAGCUUCAUUUUCCCAUCCGUUCGUUGGUGGAAAAUGGAAAACAUUUUCAAGACAAAUGCCCUUUUGUGAGAGCCUUUUUCUGAUUUCUCUGAAUAUCAAGAGCAGCUCAUUUGCCUGGCAUUUGCACCACAGAGCUGUUGUGUGACUCAGAAAUGCCAGUAAGUGUGUUAAUAUGUGGGUCUAAGAUUCCCAUUGGUUUCAUUCCAAAGGGCAAGGAAGCAUCUUAACCAGCUAACAAGCAUCUACAUAACAUGUGCACAAACAUUUUACAGUUUUUCUCAUAAAAAAGGAGGAAAGAAGUCAGAUGUGUGGUAUAAAAUGCUUCAGAAAAACACUUGAGACCUUGUGCAAAAAUUGCCCUUUGGCUUGUAUUUCACCACUAACUUAUCCUUCUCUGGCAUCUCUUCUCUCCUCAGACCUAUUUUUAAUUUUGCAAUGGACUUGUGCAGCAGUGGAAAUCACAGAAAGAAGAGGUGUAGCCGAAGGAUCCUCUGUGCUGUUGUGUGCGCCAGAUACCAAGAACGCAAACAUCAUUGAGUGGGAACACAUAAAAAACACCAGUUCUGAAUUCAUCCUGCAGUACUACGCAGAUUCACAGUCUCCAACUAUCUACCCGGCUUACCAAGGCAGAGUGAUUUUCUAUCCAGAGAAUGGCUCCCUUCUCUUGUUAAAGCUACGAGAGAUGGACAAUGGAGUCUAUAAAGCAACAGUUGACCUGGUGCAGGAUAAAGCUAGGACAACUUUGCUUGAAGUUAUCAAGCCUGUGCCCCAGCCUGAGCUCCAAUACAGUUCAAGCCUGGCAGGUUCACCCAUCGAGUUGGUCUGUGUCCUGCCGAAAGGAAGAGUGGAUGUCAUCUCUUGGAAGAAGGAGGGACAUCUUCUCCCCCUAGAAAGAUGCUAUCAGCUCUCUGAAAACAACACUGUGCUGCGGAUUGCAAAAGGGGAGAAGGCAGACUGCGGCUCCUACUCCUGCAAUGUCAGCAAUGAGAUAAGCUGGAAGGAAGCAGUGCUGAACCUGACUGUAGUGGGUCUCCCGCGCCCUCUACGCUAUGCUCAGAUAAUGGCUGCUGCUGCGCUGAUGUUUGCUGCGGGGUCUGUGGUAGACUUCAUUGUCCUGCUCUGUCAGCCAGAUAAGCAAGGAUUUGGAAAGAAAGUGAGGAGAUGGAUGACUCUGUGCAUCCAAGGACUGGUGUGUGUCUCCUCUCUUCUCCUGCUCACCACCUCUAUUUUCUGGGUGCAACAAGAAGGUCCUUCUGCUGCCUUCAUACUGCUCGGGCUUUUCCUCUUUGCUACAAUAAUGAUGACUGUCCUCCAAACAGUAACACUGGUGUGCAGACCAGCAGCUCUCAUCUAUUUCAAGACCAAAAAAUGGUACUGCGUCAUCCUGAACACUGCAGCCCCCACAGCAGUGAUCGUCCUUGUGCUGUUCACCAGCCUCCUGCUCCAAAAUAUCCAACGGCUCCAUGAGCGAGGCUGCUCGGAGCCCAUUAAUCUGAUGCUCAUCUUCAUCCUUACUGCUGCGGUAGCCCUGUUCAUGCCGCUGGUCUUCUUCCUAUGCUAUCACAAGAGUGUAAAGAAGGAGAGGAAGAUGGAAAAUGUGCAAGUCGUCCGUGUCACAGGGGGCAUGGCAACCUUGGUACAGGAAGAACUCUGAGGACAAAAUCAGGAAGAGGAAUAUGAAGUCAUCUGUCCAACAGCCAGAAAGCUCUGCUCACACACCCCUGGCAGCAGGAAGGAGCCCCAGGGAGCUGGAAAAAUGCCAUUUAUAACAAGGCAUCUGUAAGCUGCUGUUGUACCCUAGCACUAUCUAGGCAAUGUUUUUGUAAAAGCACUUCAUAAAAUGUUACCACUCUGGUCGCCUCACCAUGGCUCCAGGUCACACCUGCCUAUAAGACUUGUUUUUUGUUCCCAGCCACUGAGCAGUGAGGGGGGCUGCAGAGCCUAGAAUAAAGCCACGUCGAGAUCUUGCGGCUGCAUCAGAGAUCGAUGCGUGCACGCAACUGCAGCCAGCUCUUUAAACGAGACUUGCGAACUACCGCCGCCGCCGCCCUGCGGGCAUCGCCCAGCCCCGCGGACGCACGUCUGGCUGGAUCCAGCACCCUCCCUCACAGCUCUGCCCCCUGUUGCAUUUAGGGCACAGGGGAUCAAUUUGCAGCACCGAUACAGCCAGAGUCCAGCUGUGGCGGAGCAGCCAGGACGGAAAACCCAGGGUUGAGCUGAACUGAAACGGGGCUCCCGGGGCCAUGAGCAGCUUGAACAAAAGCCUAAACAGUGAAGCCCCCCUCCCUAGGCUCCCAGAGGAUAGGGCUGGCCCCUGGGUGGCAUUUAAGCCUCAGUGAGCAACUACUCGGCUCAAAGUUGCUACUAGAAGCAGUCAUAAACCCACAAAAAUCUGUAUGAAGUCUCAGUGCUUCACCAGCAUAAUGCCCUGGUUGAAAAUAAAAUGCCAGUAAAGCACAGCUUGUUUAGGAUGCUGAUCAAGAGGAGCAAUAAAAGUGUUCAAAAUUAAAACCAAUGCUCUGCAUUACAGCAAACCCAUGUGUUCCCCAAGGGAAAGUAUGUCUCUAGGGCAGAGAGGCCCCAGCAGCCCACCCAGGCCAGAGCGGUGCUUACCACAAGCUGCCUGCUCUGCUCCGGGCGCCACAUUCAAGGCAGAAGCUCCGUUCCGGGAUCAAGGCUCCGGACAAAUGGCACACUGCCUUGCGGCACUUGAGAGACACAGGACUUAAAAGCUUUUCUGCCUGUGGAGUUGUGCUUGGUUAAUACGUACAGGGGCAAAAGCAGGCUCCUGGCCGCAGCCUUGUAAAUACUUUCCUGCCUCUGAGGUGAGCGGUGAGCCAGCAGUUCUUGAAGUACCCUGAACCUCUCCUGCUUAAACUAAUUGAGCAGUGACAUCUUUUACAAGGGUUUGAAAGGCCUAUAUAUACAAAUGGCAAAAUCAUAUUGGUUGCUUAUCUGCAUCGAGCUAUUUAAAAUUCACCCCAAAGCCAUUUGCUGUAAGAACAUCCCAAACUCCAGGCUCCUCACGGAAGGAGCGAAGCUGCCCAAACAAGGCAGAGGACGCAGAUAACAUGACCGCUGCAGAACAGCGUAGCCAGCAACCACCACCUUGGGCAUGCUGCAGCGGGAAGCAGCGCCGUUUGGACAGGUGGCUGCAUGUCAUCUUCUGCCAUGAGGUGCAACCCACCGGUUCAUUCUGUAGCCUGUGCAGGAACCCUGGCUCCCUGCAACAGGGAGCGAAGUAAAAUGUACACAUACAAACUGCCAAGCUCAGGACUACAAUUCCUUACAAAUCUCUGCAUUUGGUACCUCUGUCGUACCAGUUUUCUUGUAUACCAUAUGCAGAAACGAAUCAGGCCUUUUCAAAGUUAAAGGCAAAGAGAAAAAAAAUACACAGUUAUAACAAACCAUUCCCUACCUGAUGCUAUGGUUGUCCCUCCUCUCAUAUGCAUGUUCCUAGCCUGCUGCGGUUUCUGCAGGCUUUAGAUACCGGAGGGUGAUUUAUUUCCCGUAUCUGAAGAUCACAAUAUACACUGGAAUAACGUAUGCACUUUUAUUAGCAGUAAAAGCCCAUUAAAAAACAACUUGUCUAGAAUGAUUUACAGACAAUUCUCAAAAAAGUCAAAAAAAUGUAUUUUGUCAAACAUUUGACUGUAUUUGUUCGCAAGUAAAAUAGGGAACAAUCCAUAUUACAGCUUAAAACCAAAUUUGUUUUAAUCCAUGCAAUCUGCUUCACUUCCUUUAAUAAUUUAAUUGUAACAUAAUUACAGGCUGAGAGAUGGCA